rnacentral:lncRNA from 1 species
CUCCAGACAGCAGAAGCGCCGGGAUUUCCAUGCAGCUGCCACGACAGGCUAGAUGGCAAAGCAACAGCGGCGGCCGAGGCGCUCGGGUCGGUCGUUGUCCUCGCGCCGCGCCCUCACGAAGCGCCCCCACAGAGGCCCACCGCGCCCCUGCCCGCCUCGGCCGAGCCCGGCGCCCGCCCGCCGCGCCCACCACGCCCGCCGGCGCCGGCACAGGGGCCCGACACGAGAGACGCCGGUGGGAGCUCCGAGAGUGCUCCGGGCCGCCGCGCCCGGUGACAGCGGUCCCCGCGCCGCCUCACCUCCUGGGCGGCCGUGGCAGCGGCCCCGCAGCUCUCCUCUCCUCUCCGCCUCCGCCUCCAGCAGCCCCGCGCCGCCGCCUCCUCCCCCCGCGUCUCUGGCAAGUCUCCGCCUCCCUCGGCCGCCGCCGGUCCGGCUGCGCGCCACGUGACCGCGCCACGUGACCCGGCGCGGCGAGCGGCGCCUUCCCGCUAGCCUGCCCGGACCCGCGCGCUGGCCAUUGGCGCUGCCCAGGCCGUCGGCCCUGCUCCGCCUUGCGCUGGGGUGCGGGAUACCACCCUGGCUCUUCCCCCACACCCGGCUGAGCUCACCUCUCGAGCUGCGGGGACGGGAAUGGGAGCGGCCGCCCAGCAGAGCCCCACCCCCACCCAGAGACUGCUCCCCCAGCCGCGCCGCCUCCCGCCUCGCCGCUCACUUGCGCGCGCGCACUCACACGCACACCCUCGCGCGCGCAUCCCGUAGCUCUCGCCCGCUAGACCGCGGCUGGACGGCUGUGAGGACAGUCUGAGGAAGAGUCGGCGGAACCUCGCCCACAAGAGGAACCCUUAUACCAGAUUCGUGCGCAGUCCGAACUCAGUUUGAGCCGGAAGUGGACAUCACGUCGUGUCUUAAGCUGCGAGCUUCCAGAGAGAACAGAUUUGCUUGUACUAUGGACUAGCGUGGGUCCCCAUGAAAAGUCUUUGAAGUGUUUGAUGGUGAUGAUCUCA